UGGGGGCUGUUCCGCGUGGGCUGUUCCAGGCGAAAGCUCCCGAAACGCAGUUCCUCUGGAGAGCGAAGGCCCACGGCAGCUCAGCGGAUUUCUGGCGGCCGCUCCGGGUUUUUCACCUGUUCUCCCUGUCUUCAAUCGUAAGGCCUUCUUUCAUGCUCAAAUCCAGCAAGUUUUCGGCUGCUGCUGGGAAAAGGACUGGGGCUGUCACUAUUUCACAUCUGGUAUUACUGCUGAAGGGAACUGAAGCAGUCAUCAGCCUAUCCCUUUAUUAUUCCAAUUUCCUAAUUGAUUUAUUCGUUCGUCACGUAUGUAUUGAGGCUCCUUUCAUGUCCUAGGCCCUGUAUGAGUUACUGGAAGUACAACAUGGAAACGAAGUCAUGAAGUUAGAACGGGUUAAAGACACUGUUAUGGGGGAAUCACACAAAAUUUAAAUUUGCAAACAGUGUCAUCUCUUCUGAGAAGUGCGUGGCUCCCAGAGAGCCUGUUUUGGGGCGGGGUGGAGGAGGGAUGGAGGGGGUGGUAGGAGAUUGAUUUUGUGGAAUCUGAAGGCCGACUUGGAAGAACUUAACUACCUCCAAGGAGUGAGAGCUUGGCGUGGCUGGAAUGGGGCGCUGAAAGAGCAUUCAAUGUGGAGCGGAGUGUGACGGGGCAGGGGACCAAUUAGGAGGCUGCCUGAACAGUCGAGGCACUGGUGAUGGUAGAGAAGAGCACUGUUUAGGGAGUAAAAUGGACAGGAGUUGAUAGAUUGAAGAUUGUGGCCAAGGAGGAGGCAAGGUUGACUCUUAGAUUUGAGGUUGGUGGGGAUGCAUUUAUAGAUCUCAGGAGCUCUGAAGGAGACCCUUGAGGAAAAUAACUAAAAACGGAUGAUAAACGUAAAAACUAAAACUACCAAGUAAAUUUCUAGAAGAAAACACAGAGGAAAAAAAAAUCUUUGUGAUUUUGAGAUAGGCAAAGAUUUCUUAGGACACCAUAAUCAUGAACCGUAAAAGAAAUGAUUUGUAAAAUGAACUUAAUUAAAAUCUAAAACUUUUGUUCUUUGAAAGACAUCAUGAAAAAAUGAAAAGAUUGAGGGGGUGGAUUUGGAAUACAAUAUAUCUGACAAUCCAGAAUAUAUAAAGAACUCAUAUAAAUGAAUGACAACCCAAAACAAUGAGCAAAAGGUUUUAGUAAACUCUUCACCAAAGAAGAUAUAAAAAUGGCUAAUAAGCAACAAAAAGAUGCUCAGUAUCUUUAGCCAUACAGGGAUUUGCAAACUAAAACCAAAAUGAGAUGCCUCUACCCUCAUUACAGUAGCUAGAAUGAAAAAGACUGAUGACCCACCAACCACAUCCCUACACAUCUCCUUUACUGUACUAUACUCAAGCUCCAAAUACAGAUGAUAACAAAGUCAUACUCCCACCUGACAUGAUACAACUAACUUGCAUACAACCAAAAAGCAUCACACUUUCCCCAAAAGAGGAUGCAACCUUCCUGUGAUACUCCCUUUCCGCUUUUGACAUCCUGUAACUUAAUACUGUGAUAUAGGAGUUCCCGUCAUGGCUCAGUGGUUAACAAAUCCCACUAAGAAUCAUGAGGUUGUGGGUUCGAUCCCUGGCCUUGCUCAUGGGUUAAGGAUCUAGCGUUAUUGUGAGCCAAGAUCGCAAAUCCUGCAUUGCUGUGGCUGUGGUAUAGGCUGGCUGCCACAACUCUGAUUUGACCUCUAGCCUGGGAACUUCCAUAUGCCUCAGGCACAACCCUAAAAAAGCAAAAAAAAAAAAAAAAAAAAAAAGCCUUAAAUCCAUACAAUCUAUAUAAUGGACUGCUACACAGAAAUUUAAAAGAACUAAAUGCCAACACACUCAGCAAUGUGGAUCAUCUCAAAAUCAUUAUGAAGAAUGACAAGCUGAAAGCAGAAGGAUACAUACUGCAUAAUUCCAUACAAAAUUCUAGAAGAUGCUAAUGAGUCUAUAGUGACAGCAGUUCAGUUUUGCCCUGGGCACAAGAGGAAACUUUUGAGGGUGAUAAGAAUGAUUUGUAUCUUCACUGUGGUUGUAGUUUCAUAGAUGUAUACAUAUGUCAAAAUUCAUCAAGUUGUAUUCUUUAACAUAGGUGCAGUUUAUUGUACAUGUAGUAUACCUUAAUAAACUUGUUGUUAAAAAAGGAAUUCAUUUGAUGGGAUCCAUAUCAGAUUACAAACAGAACAGAGGAUUAAUGAACUGAAAGACUCACAGCAGAAAGUAUUCUCAUCAAAGUUCAGAAAGAGAAAAAGAGGGAAAACACAGAAAAGAACAUCAGAGAUAUAGCACAGAGUAAAAAACAGUGCUACAGAACAGAGACUAAAAUAAAAUGGAAAAAAAUACCAAUGUGUCUUCGUUGAAAACAUGUAAGUAAUUCUAUUCUUGAUGAAUCAAAAUACAGCAUUCAGACCCUUACCUGAUUAAUUUCAAGUUUGUGGAAAUUGAAAUAUUAUUCAUUUGGCAAAAUUUAGUAACAUCAUGGUAAAACAUUUAUGCAGAAAUAAAUUAUCCACACCAAAAAACUAUUACAUAUUACUCAGGGGAUGAAAUACAAAAGCAAUUUUUUUUUUGGCUUUUUUAGGGCCUCACUGGCAGCAUAUGGAGGUUCCCAGACUAGAGGUUCAAUUGGAGCUGCAGCCGCCGGCCUAUACUACAGCCACAGCAACACCAGAUCUGAGCCAAGUCUGCAACCUACGCCACAGCUCACGGCAACGCCGGAUCCUUAACCCAUUGAGCAAGGCCAGGGAUCAAACCUGCAACCUCAUGGUUCGUAGUUGGAUUUGUUUCUACUGAACCACAACAGGAACUCCAAAACUUAUUAAUUAAAACAUUAGCAGGUGGUAUGAAAAUAUUUGGGGAUAAGUUAAGAGAUGCCAAAUAAUAUUACUCAUUAUUUUAAUAUUCAAUACCUAAUGUAUAUAUCUGGCACAGAUAAUUAUGAUCAGAUUUAUAGAUUUCUAAAUUCAAACACUUUUAUAUCUGAACAUUUUAAGAGGUUUUUGUCAAACUGGAAAAGUUUAUUUAAAAUUUUAAAUUAAAUACUUACUAAUAGUGAACUUGACAGAAAUAAUUUGAGAAGCCAGAAAUAUAAUUGUGGUGCAAAUAUAUGUGGAAAAUUUAACAUUGCAGUAUAUCUUUGAAAAAAAUUAUAUGCCAUUCUGUUUCUUUUUUUAAGCAUUCUUUAAAUUUGAUAGUGACUAGUGCAGACAAAAUCUCUUUAAAACUUAUUGAAUUUGGAGUUCCCGUCGUGGCACAGUGGUUAACGAAUCCGACUAGGAACCAUGAGGUUGCGGGUUCGGUCCCUGCCCUUGCUCAGUGGGUUAACGAUCCAGCGUUGCGUGAGCUGUGGUGUAGGUUGCAGACACGACUCAGAUCCCACGUUGCUGUGGCUCUGGCAUAGGCUGGCAGCUACAGCUCCGAUUGGACCCCUAGCCUGGGAACUUCCAUAUACUGCAGGGGCGGCCCAAAGAAAUAGCAAAAAGACAAAAAAAAAAAAAAAA
rnacentral:lncRNA from 1 species